rnacentral:tRNA from 1 species
ACCUGGCUGGCUCAGUUGGUGGAGCAUGUGACUGUUGAUCUUGAGGUCGUGGGUUCGAGCCCCGUGUGGGGUG